rnacentral:rRNA from 1 species
UACAGAGGGUGCAAGCGUUGUCCGGAAUCACUGGGCGUAAAGGGCGCGUAGGCGGCCUGAUAAGUCGGGGGUGAAAUUCUGCGGCUUAACCGCAGGACGGCCUUCGAGACUGUCGGGCUUGAGCACGGUAGAGGCUGGUGGAAUUCCCGGUGUAGCGGUGGAAUGCGUAGAGAUCGGGAAGAACAUCGGUGGCGAAGGCGGCCAGCUGGGCCGUUGCUGACGCUGAGGCGCGAAAGCUAGGGGAGCGAACGGG